GUGCCCACGAGAGAGGCGACUUUACGUCAGCGGCCUUGGGCUGAGAUUUGAGAACGCGACCAAGUGGAGAAUGUUGGAGCCAGAUUUUAAAAUCCUUGUCUUCCUUCUGCUUGCUACUUGAUCUAAAUGAGAUACGGCAAAGUCACAGAACCUGUUUUUAUGUUUUUGCCUGAUUCAUACGGGCUUCUCCGGUGAAGAUGGGCUGAAGUAACGCUGGGGUUGCUUCUGACGUUGUAACUCAUCCUGUAGCUGCAGCAACCGUGGUCCUUGCAACCUCAUAAAAAUGUUGCCAGCAUUGUUUCGAUAGUGCUGCUUAAUUCUUGGAAGGUUCUUCGGACUUCACACAUUCCAGCAGUAGCUCUCUCAGCUCCUGUCCUGCACAGCUUUGAAGUGCUGGUGAUGUCAUUGAACUCUUAAGUGCAAGAUGAAACAAGUCUUUC
rnacentral:lncRNA from 1 species